UACGUAGGGCGCGAGCGUUGUCCGGAAUUAUUGGGCGUAAAGAGCUCGUAGGCGGCCUGUUGCGUCUGCUGUGAAAUCCCGGGGCUUAACCCCGGGCGUGCAGUGGAUACGGGCAGGCUGGAGGCAGGCAGGGGAGAAUGGAAUUCCCGGUGUAGCGGUGAAAUGCGCAGAUAUCGGGAGGAACACCGGUGGCGAAGGCGGUUCUCUGGGCCUGUUCUGACGCUGAUGCACGAAAGCUAGGGGAGCAAACAGG
rnacentral:rRNA from 1 species